UCAGAUAUUUUAGACCUCAUCAAUCACAGAAAAAAGUCUUCAUCUGCAUAGUGCAGACUGAACAUGGAAACAAAGAGGAAAACGGAAAAUUAAUUUCACAUUACUCUCAGUGUCUUAGUUCCAAGAAUUGGUUAAAAUCUUAGUAGUGUCUAAUGAUGCGUUUCUUUGUUUCAGAAAUGCUGCUGGAUGACUUCCUGUUGACCUACCUGGUGUUCAUGUCCACCAAUGACCUCUGUCAGGCUCUACUAGGACAAUAUCCUUUCUGGAAUCACUAAUUCACACAUAGACACAAACAUCUAACCUACACACUGCCUGUCUUUGUCUCCUUGACUGCUCUCACUUAUAGCAGUGCUUGCUGCAGGGGCCAGGAGGAGGGCAAAGACGCCCUCUUCAGAAAGCGUAAGGUACUGCAGCUGGUCUCCCACUGGAGCAGACUCUACAAGGAUUUCCUCAAGGAUGAGGAGCACGUCAGGAGCUUCAUGAAGACACUGUACAGGUAUGUUUUAGAAGACUUGUACGAGUUCCCCACACUCGAGAAAGACCUGAAGGAGUUCCAGAAACUUCUGCGCCGCAGACACACUGUGGAUGACUGCCCUCCUAACCAAAAGAGUAAACAAACGUAUCAGCAGUUGAGUUUGAAGGAAAACUGUUUACAGCUUCGGAGCCCACCAACAGAGACAAGAGAGGGUACGUAACAAAGAUAAAGAUAUAAACAACACCAAGCACAACACACUGCCCAGGACUGAAAGCAAUCAUACAUAAUGACAGUCUGCAAGUUCUAUGUUCAUGCAUAAUGUGCACAUUGAAUAAAGAGCUUCAUUUUGUCUUUUUGAGCACUCAAAAAUAAACUCAAGUCUCCCUCUUCAAUAUUGCACUUAACCCUUGCCAAAUCUGCUGUAUUUAUCUCUUUACCAUGAAACCUUGAAGAACCCUUAAGCCAACCUGUAUAUAAAUAUUAAGUUUACUUUUUCAAUGUGGAGUUUGUGCAUUGAAUUAUUUAUGUAAUUAAGUUGCUCUUUUUCUGCAUGUUUUCCUCUGUGUGCUUGCUUGUCUUUGUAGUUUGCUUUUUAAAAGGCAAAGGGGGGUUGUCAUGUGACCUAAAGCUCAGCUCUGAAGUGGGAAUCACCAUUAAAUGUGACUGUAGUGUUUUCAGUCAGAGCCUCGUGUAAAGGCCAGGAUGAACAGCUCAGCCUGCCUCGUUUACUGGCUUCAUUUGAAAGAAACCGUCUUCUUUGUCCCCUAAAUGUACUGCAACAGUCUGGACUGAGUCUUGCAACUUUUCACCCAAACCAUGCUAUGUAUGUGAUGUCUGUUUUUAUAAUAAAUAUUUUAAUCAUCA